GGAGAGAGGCUCAAUCCUGCCCUCAACACCCAAAGCUGAAAUUUUACUUAAACUACUCCUUG
rnacentral:tRNA from 1 species